ensembl:lncRNA
CCAUGAUGAAGGCCCCUGCCCACAGCUCACCCCUUCCUCUCUGGUCCUGACCAAUCCUGGUGUUUCCCCAUGUGGACCCUCCUGGAGCAGCAUGCCCCUUUCUCUUGGAAAUUCAGCUCGCAACAAUGGAGGUUUGCUCCCAGUCUCUGCAACAGACACAUUUCCAAUCACCAGGCUUCUGUGGAUUUAUGCCCUCUUCCUGACUUAAACAGCAGCUCUCAGAAAGCAAUGGCUUUCUGCAUUGAGAUCUGGAGGGUUUGUUAGAAAUUCUGCAAGCAUAUAUCUGAUGUAUCACCAAAUUAGAGAGAAUUGUGAGCAAAGAAGAAAAAUUCUUAAAUUCACAAAUUAUGCAACUGAUUACCCCAACAACAAUUAUUUUUAAUACAUGCAUUUUGCCUUGAUUUUUGCAUUUGGGGGAAGUAAUAUAUGGUAUGAAAACAAGACUAGCAAGCAACAUUUCAUUUGUUCCUUCUUAUGAAGCAGAAUGAGGGAAUGCAUCCAAAACCACUUUGUGAGUCCUAAUGC